rnacentral:rRNA from 1 species
AUUGAACGCUGGCGGCAGGCUUAACACAUGCAAGUCGAGCGGGGUGAUGGUGCUUGCACUAUCACUUAGCGGCGGACGGGUGAGUAAUGCUUAGGAAUCUGCCUAUUAGUGGGGGACAACAUUUCGAAAGGAAUGCUAAUACCGCAUACGUCCUACGGGAGAAAGCAGGGGAUCUUCGGACCUUGCGCUAAUAGAUGAGCCUAAGUCGGAUUAGCUAGUUGGUGGGGUAAAGGCCUACCAAGGCGACGAUCUGUAGCGGGUCUGAGAGGAUGAUCCGCCACACUGGGACUGAGACACGGCCCAGACUCCUACGGGAGGCAGCAGUGGGGAAUAUUGGACAAUGGGCGGAAGCCUGAUCCAGCCAUGCCGCGUGUGUGAAGAAGGCCUUAUGGUUGUAAAGCACUUUAAGCGAGGAGGAGGCUACUUUAGUUAAUACCUAGAGAUAGUGGACGUACUCGCAGAAUAAGCACCGGCUAACUCUGUGCCAGCAGCCGCGGUAAUACAGAGGGUGCAAGCGUUAAUCGGAUUUACUGGGCGUAAAGCGCGCGUAGGCGGCUAAUUAAGUCAAAUGUGAAAUCCCCGAGCUUAACUUGGGAAUUGCAUUCGAUACUGGUUAGCUAGAGUGUGGGAGAGGAUGGUAGAAUUCCAGGUGUAGCGGUGAAAUGCGUAGAGAUCUGGAGGAAUACCGAUGGCGAAGGCAGCCAUCUGGCCUAACACUGACGCUGAGGUGCGAAAGCAUGGGGAGCAAACAGGAUUAGAUACCCUGGUAGUCCAUGCCGUAAACGAUGUCUACUAGCCGUUGGGGCCUUUGAGGCUUUAGUGGCGCAGCUAACGCGAUAAGUAGACCGCCUGGGGAGUACGGUCGCAAGACUAAAACUCAAAUGAAUUGACGGGGGCCCGCACAAGCGGUGGAGCAUGUGGUUUAAUUCGAUGCAACGCGAAGAACCUUACCUGGCCUUGACAUAGUAAGAACUUUCCAGAGAUGGAUUGGUGCCUUCGGGAACUUACAUACAGGUGCUGCAUGGCUGUCGUCAGCUCGUGUCGUGAGAUGUUGGGUUAAGUCCCGCAACGAGCGCAACCCUUUUCCUUAUUUGCCAGCG